CAAGCCGUUCCGAUGUCUGGGUCAAGUCAUCGUGGCCGCUGCACAUCGUCGGCAAACUGGCGGUGGCCGCGUUCGUGCUGGUUAUCGUCAGCCUCAUAUUGCUGGCGCAUUUUUUCGGCGNNNNNNNNNNCUCCCGCGCAUAUCGAGAACGGCAAGCUGAUCCGGGGAUCUGAGAAAUGAACGCCCCUGAUUCGCUGCGUGACGCUCCCUGGCUGAGAUCGGGCGCGACGGCGCGGGUG
rnacentral:misc_RNA from 1 species